rnacentral:rRNA from 1 species
UACGUAGGGACCAAGCGUUGUUCGGAUUUACUGGGCGUAAAGGGCGCGUAGGCGGCAAUUCAAGCCAUCUGUGAAAUCUCCGGGCUUAACUCGGAACGGUCAGGUGAAACUGCUUUGCUAGAGUGCGGAAGGGGCAAUCGGAAUUCUCGGUGUAGCGGUGAAAUGCGUAGAUAUCGAGAGGAACACCUGAGGUGAAGACGGGUUGCUGGGCCGACACUGACGCUGAAGCGCGAAAGCCAGGGGAGCAAACGGG